ACAAAUUUCAGUUACGAAAUAUUCUUGACUUUAUUUUAGUUCCUUAACGGGCAAAGUUUUUCAAGACUAUAUAAUUAUUGACUUUUUUCAAUGUUGAGAUAGGAAUACUUCAAGGAUUUGUCUUAGAGCAUACGAACUAUAUGUCAAUUGACCUGAUUUCAAUAUAUUGAAAUAGGAAAAUUUCAAUAAAUUGAGUACAGUGCUAUUCUGCAUACCAAUCCGCCAUAUUUAUUGAAAUGUCUUUCAUAUGUCAAUCUUAUGACGUCAUUUCAAGCUUGACUUAAUGUCAAUGUACUUACUGCAUAGGGCUGAAUAUGUUUUAGUUAUGUUAUCACAACAUUUUUCCUAAUAAGUUCAUUAUAUUGCACGCUUUAACUUAAUAACAACGUUAAUAACAGACUGAUAUUAAUAAACGUACAUGUUCGUAAAAAGGUGAUCACGACCGAGGGGACCUACCGAGUUGUUCGUCCAAGCGUUUGUAAAUAAUUACAGUUUAACAAGACCCUUUUAUUAACAUUUAAUGUUGUACAUUCAACCUGCACACAUAAGCUGCUUUCCUUUCAUGCAGAUGAAGCCACAGGGCUUCAAAAUUUUAGGCGCCCCAGGUCUGCUGCGAAUGGAACAAGAAUUUUCGAUACAAAGAAACUCACUGUGUCAGCUGUUCUCUCUUUGUUGAUUUUCUAAAAGUAGCAUAACCUCAAUGUUAAUAAAAAGUGGAAAUGGAACCCUUUUGUGAAAAGGAAUUGAUUAUAAACGUAUGAAUUAAUAUUGUAGGUACCAUAAUGCCUGUUAACAAACUACUUUGUAGGCAUUAUUAUCCAAGUCAUGGUGUUCUGAUUCCUCAGAAAGUUCUUUUACUUUAUCAUCAGAUGAGGAGCAGUCGGAAAGAAGAAAGUUAAUCAGAAUUGAAGAAUAUGUUGAACGUGUAGUGCAUAAUUACAGCAAUGAUGAAUUUAAGAUUCAUUUUAGGAUGAAGCGAUCAACUGCCUACAAGGCCAUAGGUGAGAGAGCAUAGAAACGUGUGUAAUUUUAUUUGUUGAUUGAAUUCUUUAAGAUCUUCUUAAAUGUUCAAAAUAUAUACCAUCCCAUAGUUCAAAAUAUAUACCAUCCCAUAAAGAUGGACGUGAUAAAAUAUCAUGCGAAAAAGCUUUUCUCCUGACCUUAUGGUAUCUAAGCAACCAAGAAACUUUUCGACAAGUUUCAGAUAGGUUUAACGUAACCCUAAGUUCCGCUCAUAGAUGCACGAAGCGGGUGCUGGAAUUUCUACUUUCAAUGAAAUCGGACGUUAUUACAUGGCCAUCAGAUGUCGAAGCUGAAGUUAUUGUAGAAGGUUUUCGUAAGAAAAAGGGGAUUGAGGGUGUUAUAGGUGCCAUAGACGGUAGUCACAUCGAAAUAAAUAAGCCCGGUGAAGAACAACUUGCUUAUAUUAAUAGAAAAGGAUACCAUAGCCUACUUGUACAAGUAAUUGUAGAUCACAAUAAACAAUUUUUAGAUGUUUAUUGUGGGGAACCUGGUUCCAUGCAUGAUGCCAGACUGUUAAGAAAAUCAGGCAUUUAUAAAAAAAUACACAAUAACCCAGAUUUCCUUAGAGACAAAUUUAUAAUUGGUGACACAGCUUAUCCAAAUUUCCAUUGGCUAGUCACCCCUUUUAAAGAUAAUGGGCAUCUAACACAGGAUCAUAAUGAAUUUAAUUAUAAACUCUCUGCCACCAGAGUGGUAGUAGAGAAUGCGCUAGGAUUACUAAAAGGCAGGUUUAGGCGGUUAAGAAAACUGGAUAAUUUAAAUAUGAACUUGUGCAGUAAAAUAAUUAUGGGGGCUUGUAUACUUCACAAUAUUUGUCUUGCUGAGGAUGAUUUUAUAGAAACGGAUACAACAGAUUUUAACCAACCACCAGAAACACAGUAUCGUAUCACGAGCAUUAACAUAGAUGGGCACGUAAAUAAACGACAACAAUUGUUUGAGUCGAUGUAUAAUAAGUCUCUGUAACUUUACAAUCACUCCUAUGCAGUAAAAUCAUUGAUUUGAUGUCAACAUUGAAACCAUUUCAAGAAUAUUAUUUUGGAUAUUUCAAUGUUGAAAAAAUUUCGUAUUCUGUAUGGGCACUUGAUUUGAAAAUAUUGAAAUCAUAGAUUGAUUGAAAUAAAAGUCAAUGUGUCAUUUGGCAACAUGGCAUUGUAUUAAAUUUACCAACUUCAUAUUUGUUAGAAUAGAAUCUCUGGUCUUUAAAUAUUAAACAUAACCUUUUAAUCUUUCUUGAAUGUUGUGUGUGCACAGUGCAAAUAUAUUUAUUUUCUUUGUGAUUUUUAUUAAAUAAAGAAGAUGCCGCCAAAAAAGGCAACGCCUGAGCAGUAUAAACUGCUUGUGGACAUGUUUGCUGAAAGUAAAUGCUUGAGGUGGGGAAAAGGAACUCCAGGUGAAAAAAAGGAAGCAUGGGAAGCCAUCAGUGCUGCAGUUAAUACUUUAGGAGUUGAGAAAUCGUCAGAUGGAUGGAAAAAGGCCUUUAUUGAGAUGAAAUAUCACAUCAAAUCAAAAAUCCGAGCUUCAAAGCAGCUCAACCCAACUGAAAAUAGAUGUGCAGAAGUCACCGGAUUGUUUAUAUCCUGCUCUGGAAUUUCUGGGGUUCAGGAAAUGGGAAUGCCACCUGUUGUUGAUGCGAUAGAUACACAGGAACCCGAAGAGGGCCCUCAAGAUGAGUCGGUCGAAAUAAAUCCACCUGACGGUAAUGAGUUGCUGAUGAAUCCGAAUGCAUGUGAGGUUGUUGAGGAAGAAUUCGAGGAGGUAGAAACAGCCUCAAAAAAAAAACGUAAAACAACUCAAGCAAUAAAAAAAACAAAAACUACACCACAACAGUACGAAAUGUAUAUAAAUUUUAAGAAAUAUAAAUACGACAAUGAAGAAAAUGCUUUUAAAGCAUUAUGUGAAGAACUGAAUGGGGAAAAAAAAUUGCAACGCUCUGUUGAAAAUUGGAAAAGGGUAUAUACCUGAGGUGUGUGCUUAAAAUCACUUAUAUGAUGUAAAAUAGGUUUUUACUGUUUGGGAAUCAAAAGUGAAAGCAAAAGCUAGGAGAAACUAUUUGGAACAAGAGCGCACAGGAGGUGGAGUUCCUAUCUUAGAAAUUCUGGAUGAACUUGAACUACAAUUGUUAUCUGUUUUAACAAAAAUUUUAAUAUAUGGGCAUCCAAAGGUUGUAGAAUUGGGAUUUACAAAACCAAAGAAGACAAAGACGUGUCCCAUUAAACUUUCUGUAGGAAAGAGAUACAGACAUUUGAGAAAAUCCACUGAUUUAUACACCACAUUGAAAAGCGGCUCAACAAAACUAAAAAAUAGUUUACUCGCUAUUCAAAAAAGUUUGCAUGCUCUGCAUGAUGCGAUUUUAAACCUAUUUACUCUAGUUUUAAG